CUGCACUUGUCAACCAGUCCAUUUUUGGAGAGAAAUGUGGAGUGUCUUAUCGAAUGCUCGGAUGACUUUUUGAUGGAACAACAGAAGGACCUCUGCUGUGCAGUGCUACCCCAUGUUCUUCCUAAGCUUGUUCAUCCUCCAAUGUCAGGUGCUUGCAGGACCUGGCCUUGAUUUCCACCUUGGCACUGUACUUGCUGCUUUCUUUACUAGCUGCAAAGGUAUGAUGAUGAUGAGGUAUUAUCUUUUUUCUUCUUAGACUUAGUGUAACUUAUUUGAAGGUUUAACUUCUGAGUUGGUCCUUUCCUUCCCCCUUUACAAUCAUUGUCCUUUCCUAUAUUGUUUUAUGCUGUUACAUAGUUGGUUAAUAUGUUGCUGUAAGAGUAUUCAUACUUCCUUUUGCAUUUUGUCAUAAUCUCGAAUGAAGAAUGUAGUCUUUUUUAUAUACAAAUUGCUUUGGGUUGUUUGUCUUCCUUUUAAAAUUGGCACAACAGCUUUAACCACCUAUACGUUGAGCUUGAAACAGUUUAAUUUAGCUUCAUUAGGAUUUUAUGCUUAGUGCAGGAUUUAAUAUAUUUGUUUGUCUGAUUUUCGUAGUUCUGUCUCUCUGUGUUUGUGGUGAUCCGGAUUUGCUUCAAGAUAUUUGUGCUAUGAUGUUUAUUUUAACAGAAGCUUGCCUUUGUUACAUAGAAACAGAAGCUUGCCUUUGUUUUUAUAGAUCAACAUUGAACUGGUUUGAAGUGUAUGCUUUAUUACUCUUUGAAUUCUUGAAAACCCUCUUUUUUGGAAUGCUCUCAUCUACUUUAUUUUUGACUAGGAUCCUUUAGGGUGGUUGGCUUACAAAGAUG